rnacentral:rRNA from 1 species
UACGGAGGAUGCGAGCGUUAUCCGGAUUUACUGGGUGUAAAGGGCGUGUAGGCGGGAUGGUAAGUCAGAUGUGAAAACUAUGGGCUCAACCCAUAGCCUGCAUUUGAAACUAUCGUUCUUGAGUGUUGGAGAGGCAGGCGGAAUUCCGUGUGUAGCGGUGAAAUGCAUAGAUAUCACGCAGAACUCCGAUCGCGAAGGCAGCCUACCGGCGCGCAACUGACGCUCAUGCACGAAAGCGUGGGUAUCGAACAGG